UAGAGAUUCAUUUUCUUAAGCCGUCUAGAGUUGCUUUUGAGACCCAAAAAUUUUCAAUUUAAUGCGAGCUCAAGUCAACUUUCACUUAGCAAAAAUUCCUUUGCGGCAGCAAACAUUAAUAUGUCUUCUUUUUCAUCAUACUUUGUUGUUUUACAUUCUUUUUAUGAUGUUAUAAAAUGUUCUUAUCUGUUAACUAUAUUAUAUAAAUGCAAACACCAUACAUAUAAAUAAUAUAUAAUAUUAACCACUAACUAAAAGAAGAAAGAAACAAAGGAGACACCAAAUAGGAGGAAGUGUCAAAAAAAGGAAGUGGGAAGUGAACUAAGGUAGAGAGGAGUAAAGAUCAAUGAGGGUUGGUAUAAAGUUUAUGGUAGAAAUAUUUGUGAUGAUUAUUGCAUUGCAUAAAUAUGUAUAUAUACACAAAAAGAAUAGUCAAAGUCCUGACUAUCAAAUUGUAACGGUUAUCCCUCAAUCAAUUACAAUAAUAUUUAAACAAAUACAAAUGAAUACAUAUUAAAUAUAAAAAAUAUUUAGUAUUUUAAUACACUAUUUUAGUUAAAAUUGGAGGUUGUCGGAUGUUGAAAUUAUGUUUAUGGUUGUCAAAGAGUUGUGAUGAAAGUUCCUUAUUGAAGAUGAAAGUUAUUUGAUAUGAUGAAGGAACGUGUAAUACUCAUAUCUGACCAUGAACAACUUUCUCACACACAAAAUUUAUAUUCUUGGCUCCUAUAGGGUUUGGAGGAUUUGUUCCGAUGCAUUUGUAAUCGAGUCUUUCACGGUGCAAGAUGUUUUAUGUUCAGAUGAGCAGCCAAGGCAGGUCCAAUUCCUUAAGAUGUUGUUGGGGUAGAUGGAGAUGCUGGUGAUUUAGAGUGUGAGGAUGUGGUGAUGUUUAUUUCAUUGAAGAGACUCGGGCAAAGGAAUUUACUUCCCGUGUACUUGAGACCCCGAAAUCCCCUCAUGGUGUUGGAUGUUUGACCAAGUCUCCUCCUCUUGCGAAGGAUGAUGUUGAUGUCAAUGCAUCUGAUUUCACUAUCAAUUUAAGUGAUGAUUAAUGAUCUUGCUCAUGUAUCUGAGGUUUUGGCGAAUAUGUUACCUAUCAAUUCAGUUAAGCGCGUCCUAAAUGCUGCAUUUGAAGAGGUUGAUGUUCAAAAGCUUUCCCUGUCCCUUAAGAGUGCUAGGACUGGAAAAGAAUGACGUGUUGAUGGGAACGUGGAUGUUGGUGAAUGUUUAGGGGAUGAAGUUUGUAUGGUCCUGAUAUAAGUUAAUUGCAAUAUGGUUAUGUGUUUGUUGAUAAAAAGUGCCUUCCUAUUUGUUGGGAAAUUGUUGUUUGAUGUUUGAUUGUGGAUUUAUUCUACAUAUUCAGUACAUAGGAGUUGUGUGUGGAAUCUGAUUUUCCAAACCAUUUGCUAUGUUAUGGACUGUAGUUUAGGGUGACAAUGUAAUGCACUAUGUUUUGAACCAUGUUUAUUUCCAUGUUGUUUGAUAAUUAUCUAAUGAUCAGUUAUGUUUGUGUGUCAAA